rnacentral:rRNA from 1 species
CCUACGGGUGGCAGCAGUGGGGAAUAUUGCACAAUGGGGGCAACCCUGAUGCAGCGACGCCGCGUGAGUGAAGAAGUAUUUCGGUAUGUAAAGCUCUAUCAGCAGGGAAGAAGAAAGACGGUACCUGACUAAGAAGCCCCGGCUAACUACGUGCCAGCAGCCGCGGUAAUACGUAGGGGGCGAGCGUUAUCCGGAUUUACUGGGUGUAAAGGGAGCGUAGACGGCUGUGCAAGUCUGAAGUGAAAGCCCAGGGCUCAACCCUGGGACUGCUUUGGAAACUGUGGAGCUAGAGUGCAGGAGAGGAAGGUGGAAUUCAUAGUGUAGCGGUGAAAUGCGUAGAUAUUAGGAGGAACACCAGUGGCGAAGG